rnacentral:rRNA from 1 species
UGGCUCAGGAUGAACGCUAGCUACAGGCUUAACACAUGCAAGUCGAGGGGCAGCAUGGUCUUAGCUUGCUAAGGCCGAUGGCGACCGGCGCACGGGUGAGUAACACGUAUCCAACCUGCCGUCUACUCUUGGACAGCCUUCUGAAAGGAAGAUUAAUACAAGAUGGCAUCAUGAGUCCGCAUGUUCACAUGAUUAAAGGUAUUCCGGUAGACGAUGGGGAUGCGUUCCAUUAGAUAGUAGGCGGGGUAACGGCCCACCUAGUCUUCGAUGGAUAGGGGUUCUGAGAGGAAGGUCCCCCACAUUGGAACUGAGACACGGUCCAAACUCCUACGGGAGGCAGCAGUGAGGAAUAUUGGUCAAUGGGCGCAGGCCUGAACCAGCCAAGUAGCGUGAAGGAUGACUGCCCUAUGGGUUGUAAACUUCUUUUAUAAAGGAAUAAAGUCGGGUAUGGAUACCCGUUUGCAUGUACUUUAUGAAUAAGGAUCGGCUAACUCCGUGCCAGCAGCCGCGGUAAUACGGAGGAUCCGAGCGUUAUCCGGAUUUAUUGGGUUUAAAGGGAGCGUAGAUGGAUGUUUAAGUCAGUUGUGAAAGUUUGCGGCUCAACCGUAAAAUUGCAGUUGAUACUGGAUAUCUUGAGUGCAGUUGAGGCAGGCGGAAUUCGUGGUGUAGCGGUGAAAUGCUUAGAUAUCACGAAGAACUCCGAUUGCGAAGGCAGCCUGCUAAGCUGCAACUGACAUUGAGGCUCGAAAGUGUGGGUAUCAAACAGGAUUAGAUACCCUGGUAGUCCACACGGUAAACGAUGAAUACUCGCUGUUUGCGAUAUACUGCAAGCGGCCAAGCGAAAGCGUUAAGUAUUCCACCUGGGGAGUACGCCGGCAACGGUGAAACUCAAAGGAAUUGACGGGGGCCCGCACAAGCGGAGGAACAUGUGGUUUAAUUCGAUGAUACGCGAGGAACCUUACCCGGGCUUAAAUUGCAGAUGAAUUACGGUGAAAGCCGUAAGCCGCAAGGCAUCUGUGAAGGUGCUGCAUGGUUGUCGUCAGCUCGUGCCGUGAGGUGUCGGCUUAAGUGCCAUAACGAGCGCAACCCUUGUUGUCAGUUACUAACAGGUUCCGCUGAGGACUCUGACAAGACUGCCAUCGUAAGAUGUGAGGAAGGUGGGGAUGACGUCAAAUCAGCACGGCCCUUACGUCCGGGGCUACACACGUGUUACAAUGGGGGGUACAGAGGGCCGCUACCACGCGAGUGGAUGCCAAUCCCAAAAACCUCUCUCAGUUCGGACUGGAGUCUGCAACCCGACUCCACGAAGCUGGAUUCGCUAGUAAUCGCGCAUCAGCCACGGCGCGGUGAAUACGUUCCCGGGCCUUGUACACACCGCCCGUCAAGCCAUGGGAGCCGGGGGUACAAGAAGUGCGUAACCGCGAGGAGCGCCCUAGGGUAAA